AUCCAGCUGAUGAGUCCCAUACAGGACGAAACGCUCGUCAAACUGGAU
rnacentral:hammerhead_ribozyme from 1 species